GGGCGUGUGGCUCAGUUGGUAGAGCGUUCGCUUAGCAUGGGUUAUAAUAUCCUGCGAAAGGUCCUGAGUUCGAUUCUUAGCUCGUCCA